rnacentral:rRNA from 1 species
GAUGAACGCUGGCGGCGUGCCUAAUACAUGCAAGUCGAGCGAACAGAUGAGGAGCUUGCUCCUCUGACGUUAGCGGCGGACGGGUGAGUAACACGUGGAUAACCUACCUAUAAGGCUGGGAUAACUUCGGGAAACCGGAGCUAAUACCGGAUAAUAUAUUGAACCGCAUGGUUCAAUAGUGAAAGACGGUUUUGCUGUCACUUUAGAUGGAUCCGCGCCGCAUUAGCUAGUUGGUAAGGUAACGGCUUACCAAGGCAACGAUGCGUAGCCGACCUGAGAGGGUGAUCGGCCACACUGGAACUGAGACACGGUCCAGACUCCUACGGGAGGCAGCAGUAGGGAAUCUUCCGCAAUGGGCGAAAGCCUGACGGAGCAACGCCGCGUGAGUGAUGAAGGUCUUCGGAUCGUAAAACUCUGUUAUUAGGGAAGAACAAAUGUGUAAGUAACUAUGCACGUCUUGACGGUACCUAAUCAGAAAGCCACGGCUAACUACGUG